AAGUUAGUACAUGUGACUUCCAAUCACCCAGCCUUGGUUAAAGCCCAAGGAAAGAUA
rnacentral:tRNA from 1 species